UACGAGGGGGGCGAGCGUUGUUCGGAAUUACUGGGCGUAAAGGGCGCGUAGGCGGUUCGCUAAGUUGAAUGUGAAAACUCUGGGCUUAACCCAGAGCCUGCAUUCAAUACUGGCGGGCUAGAGUUCUGGAGGGGAUAGGCGGAAUUCCUGGUGUAGCGGUGAAAUGCGUAGAUAUCAGGAGGAACACCGGUGGCGAAGGCGGCUAUCUGGACAGAGUCUGACGCUGAGGCGCGAAAGCUAGGGGAGCAAACAGG
rnacentral:rRNA from 1 species